rnacentral:rRNA from 1 species
UACGUAGGGGGCUAGCGUUGUCCGGAAUCAUUGGGCGUAAAGCGCGCGUAGGCGGCCCGGUAAGUCCGCUGUAAAAGUCAAAGGCUCAACCUUUGAAUGUCAGUGGAUACUGCCGGGCUAGAGUCCGGAAGAGGCGAGUGGAACUCCUGGUGUAGCGGUGGAAUGCGCAGAUAUCAGGAGGAACACCGAUGGCGAAGGCAGGUCUCUGGGCAUUAACUGACGCUGAGGAGCGAAAGCAUGGGGAGCGAACAGG